ensembl:snRNA LOC120097657 U6 spliceosomal RNA
GUACUUGCUUCAGCAGCACAUAUACUAAAAUUGGAAAGAUGCAGGGAAGAUUAACAUGCCCCCUGCGAAAGGAUGACACCAAUAGUACUUUUGGUAUUGGAAGAAUAU